rnacentral:lncRNA from 7 species
AUCUCGGAACGCGGUAGGGGUUGCGGAUUGGGAGCAAAGGAGGAGAGGGAGUACUGGGCCGCCGCCGGCUGCGAACGCGGAGGAGGCAGCUUCCACCAAUCAGUGCACCCUCAUCCUCAAAGGCUGGUCAGUACUCAGUACACACCCUCUCCACUCAGUUUCCCUAAUCUGUACUCGUUGGCAUGAUUCGCCUGCCAACGUGUGACCAUGAAGAACGGCGAGGCUUUCUCUAGCGAGUACUCUUCUCCAGCGGUUCCCCUCUCCCGGCCGCCCUCAAUCCCAAUUUGCCUGCCGUUAGAUGUUAUCGUUAGGGAUGUAGAUGAUUCUCCUCUCCUCUUCUUCUGGAUUCAGUGAUUAGGCAAGAGCUUAAGGUAGAAUAAGUGGUCGGGCGUGAUUCCUGUCAUCCUGUGAGAUCUCUGGGGAAUCGGCAAUCUGCCCUUACAAAGUUGCAACAGAUUUAUAGUUAAGCCUAGUGAUAAGCUAAAUGAUUCGCACCUUUGUGCAUAAUAUUCUGGUUUUGCAUGGUCUCACGUUUGGGAAGAACUAGGAGCUAGAAUUUUGGGGAGAAAAGAAAGAUAACAACAAGCGCUUUCGCUUAAUGCUUGUGGUCUACUGAGCGAUGAAACGAAGAAUGGAACAAAAUCAUUGCAUGAAACGAUGGGCAUGAUUUUUGUUGUAGUCUUUAUCCCCCCAAAGGAAUCCAUUCAUAAAAAUUCUCCUGUAAAUUUAGGGGAACCUUAUCCCAUCCUUGCAGCAAAACCAGAUCACGUCCGCAAGAUGAC